GUGGGCCCUGCCCCCGCCCCAGGCAAAGGAGCCUGUCUGUGCAAGGGCUCUUCCCCAGAGGAAAAUCAAUAGUGAGGGUAGUGGCCACAGUGGCUGGUUUGUCAUCUGAGGGCCUUUGUGAAUUAUUUUAUUGGUAGGUGCUGGAGCAGCCAGUCAAGGAAGAGUCGCUGCAGCCCUGGACACAACACAACAGCAGUUGUGAGCCAUCCUAGAAAUCCUUCCCCAUUUUGAGCCAACUCAUUGUGGUGAUAUUAUAAAUUUGUCUCAUUGCCUAGACCUGAGGCUGGCGACCUGGGGAAACCCUCCUGCCACAUAGAGGAGAAGUAUGAGUGCAUGGAAUGACUGCUGACACUCAAUGAUACUGGCCUUGUAAACUGGGCAGGUACAGACUAAUUAGAAUGUGCUAGAGCUACUCCAGGGAGAACCGAGAAGGCACAUCCAAUUCAUGAACUUAGUCAAACCAGAUAUGCCGCUUCACUGUUACCAAGCCACUUCACAUCCCAGCAUCUCGGAAACUCAUUGCAUUGUCUGGUGAAGCAUAGGAAAUUGGUUCUUGAGGAUAAGGGUCACAGUAAGAAAAUAUUCAUGUUUCAAAUGAGAAGCUGAAGAAUCACACGUAUUUCCAAAGGAGGAAGUCCUAAUGGUUUUCUGAACGCACAAAUGACAGCUUGUGAGAAGCAUUUAAAGAGCUGUCCUGCUAACUCGAAAGGCCCAAGGUUUGUUUUCUUUGAGAUUUCUUAAUGGAGUCUGAACACUUCAUUGUGUUCACUGGAGCAGCGAAUUGAUUAUAAAGUGGCAGGCCUUAAAAGGGAAGCCAGUGAGUUGGAGCACAAUUUGCGUGAAAUAUGUUAUUAUUGUCUGCUUUUUCCGAUGGUAUUUAAAUGCUCUUAUGAGAAAUGAGUAUGACCUCUUCUUAGAUUGUUUCCUUUGUUCAUUACAGUCACCCUAGAGGGGUCAUCCCUCCCACUCCUUUCAAGACAUCAUGCCCAAGUCGCCACUUGGGGGCAGUCUAGUGCCUUUGUCCCUUCCCAUCGCCAUUUUUCCUGCCUGCCUUCUCUCUUAGGUGGUUGACCUGGUUUCUGGUCCCUCUUAUAAUAAAACGGUCAUUACCAAUCUCUGCAGUUUCUUUAAAAAGAAACAAAGGGUUGCAUUCUUAACAUUUUGAAAAAUACUACAAUGCAUGCGUACCAGUUUUGAAGGGGCAUUCUGGAGUACUAUUUCUCAGAAGGAUGUAGGCAGGGCAGCCACGGUGAUCACCUGCUUCAGAACAGACACCUUGGCUUGGGAAGGUUGAAUCAAUGUUUAAACCUCAGAUGGCUCCGAAGGGGUAGGUUCUCUGAUUCUUUGGUCAGUGCUCUUUCCUCUUAUCAUGCUGAAAUAGGACCCAGCUUUUAUUUUGCAGGAAGGUCAUUGUUUAAUGAAGAUAACCAAACAACAAAUAGCAGUACAAAUAAUUCAAUAGAAAAAGGAAAUCACAUAAUCACAUUAUUUUCCUGUAUGUGCUCAUAAAAUGGUUUCAACUCAGGGAAGAAAAAAAAAAAUCACAAUUCCCUUUCAAAGUUUAAUAAAAAUUCACUUAAACAUAGGAAUAAACAGCUUGUCCCGAUCCUUUCUCCAUCCUUCCAUGCUCACCAGGCAAUUUAAUUAAUGGGCAAACAGCCCGAUGGUAGAGUUUUCUGAUACAGUGGCAUGAACGAGUGAGAUCCAUCUUUGCACGUAGCUUGCUGGCACAUCAGUCUUGUUGGCUGCAUUACAGAAACAGAACAGAGUCGUAUGUUUCCUGGAAAGUAAUUAUUUGGCAGAGUUCUAUUCCUGAGUGAAUCCACACAGAAAAAGUACUCAGGUGGCCCUCACUGGUGCCAGGGCCUGGGGUGGAUAGCAGAGGGUGUGUGUUGAAUAUGCGUGUAAUGGUUUGAGCUCCCGAGGUGGAGAGGGAGAACACAGCGUGGGAAUACAAACCCAUAAGAACAGGGCUGUAAAUCAUGCCUACUUCCUCUGUUCCUGUAAUUUAUUCAUUUAGCCAUCAAAUACGUGCUGACUAUUACAUGCUCAGCACUGAGCAAAGUGAGCACAAGAAACCAACCUUUUUUUUUUUUCUUGAGACAGGAUCUUGCUCUGUUGCCCAGGCAGUGCUAUGGCUCACUGCAGCCUCAACCUCCUGAGCUCAAGUGACCCUCCCACCUCAACCUCCCAAGUAGCUGGGACUAUAAGCAUGCA